rnacentral:lncRNA from 1 species
UUCUCAGGGCCUUCUGCCAAGGGCCCGCUUUGAUCUCCCUUAAAGGACAGCAUUAUCUGACCAGAGACCCAUGCAGGAGACCUCUCCAGGUACACAUAUUUCCUGCUGCUCAAUGGCUUAGACUGGGAUUUGCAAGGAAGUACGAAGUCCAAGACCUUUGCCUUUCUUUUAGAAGAAGGCACCAGCUGGUUCUCCAAUGUUGAAGGUCUUCUCCAGAGAUCGGCAUGCAGAAGGAGCGAAAAAACAAGAAGGAAGACAAGGAAGACAUUGUUUUGGCUGCUGACAUUUCCUGAAAGAUCUGAGGAUUCCCCUUCACUUCAGGCGUGGGACCCAGAUGGCUGAGUGAUGGACCUUAAGGUAUGGGGAGAUUACAACUUGCUCAAGGUCUCAUAGCUAGAAGAUGUCAGAGUGAUAACUCAAACCAUGUCACGUGACUCUAAGCCCAAAGCGGCCUCUAGAAGGUUGUUUGAUCUUCUGAUGGAAGCACAAAUCACCAUUCCAACAUGAAAGAUGGAGAAACUUAAGUCUAGAAAGAUUUAAAGGACUUGUCAAAGGCAAUGAAACAAGUGAUGAGGAAACUGAGGCCCAGAGAGGAUAAAUGACUUGCUCAAGGUUAGCCAGUUGGUCAAUGGCAAAGAUUAAACCAGAACCCAGAUC